GGGCCGGUAGCUUAGUUUGGUUGGAGCGCUCGACUGAUAAUCGAGAGGUCGAGAGUUCAAAUCUCUCCCGGCCCA
rnacentral:tRNA from 1 species